GAGUACGACCUCCAGGCUGUGGGACCCGAGCGUUCCCUCGCGCAUCCGUGCCCACGCGCGCGCGGCGCCGGAGCUCUAAAGGCUUUAGGUGCGGGAGCACACAGGGUGUCAUGAAAUUGGCCCCAGGAUAGGGUCCUGACGCGGCCCCGCGCGGGUGGUUUGGACGCUUACCAGCGUCAGCCGUGUCUGCCCAUUUUAAAGACGAGGGAAACAGGAUUUUACUGUCACGGAGAUCCACCUACCCCUCUGCCUCCCAGGUGCUGAGAUAAGAGUGCACCACCAUGUCCAGUCAGAAACCCCAAGUUUGACAGCAGCUUUUCUGUUUUAAAGAAGGCUCCAUCCACAGCUGGUUGCAAGAGAAGGUAUGUUUUGGUUUGCGUCAAAUCGACGUGAUGAAGUUGCCUGCACUAGACACACCAAGAGUCAGGGCUCAGUGGGGUGAGCUGAAGAUUAAACCACCCUUCCCAGCACAGGACUGUGGGAUGGAUUUCCUGGCUGCUAGCUCUCUUCUUGUCUAGGAGGACUGGGAAUUGGGAGCAGAGGAGAUGGCCCUACCUGAUGUCCCCAGCUAAGGCACUGAUGCCCACAUGGCCUGUGGGUUUUGUGGAAGCAGAAGUUACCCAGAUAGCCCAGGACAGCCCCGUUGCAGGCCAAGCCAAGCCGAGAACCCAGUGAGCCCGACAAUGGAUCCUUGGGCCAUCAGAAGCUCCCCAAGCACCACUUUGUCACUCGGUGAUCUCUUGGGACUGACCCUGGAGGGAGAUGCUGAUGUAUUGGAUUUGGCGGCCCUUGUAAUGACCCUCAGGAAGAAGAGAAUGUGUGAUGCCCACAUGGUAGAAGAAGGAAAUAGCUGGUGCUAGGCCGGCCAGGUCACUGUAUCCCCAUGAGUAUGUCUCAGAAGGGGCAGAACUGACACUGUGGGCUCUGAGCUUGAAGUGGAGGCUCAGGCCCUAGCUGACUUGUAGCUCCAGGGAGCCUGGGGGCCAACCUACUAGGCUUCCAGUGCCUCAGUACCUAUCUAUGCAAGGAAGAGUGUGGAGGAAGUGCUUGAUAAAUGUUUGCGGAUGAAGAGCAGAAGUCUGUUUCUGGCUGACUCAAAACCACUAUAUCUUUUUUUCCCUUCUGGCCUGAUGAGCCUGAAGAGGUGGUCAGUGGUUGACUAGCCACUCUGCCCGGAAGUCUCCCGCAGGCACGGAUUACCAUGCUAUGCCCAUGUAUGGCCACCAGAGGUCGCCCUGCACCGCCGGCAGCAGAAAGCUGUUGGGUUGGUAGACUCACAGAAGGGGGGCAGGAUGGUUGGGACAGGGCUGAGGAAUUUACCAACAGAGUUCUGGGCUCCUCAGGUGGGCCUGCUCCUACUUGACAUCAUGAGCUUAUCUUCUGUCGCAGCAGGCCCAGCUGGGUCCAGCUCACCUGGACGAUGUGAAGGUGGAACUGGGUGGUGCUGGUGCCCCAGGGUGUGCGCUUAGUAAGUAUGGCUCAGGUCCUGCACUUCUGGGGCUCCAAGCCCUAGAGCCAGGGUUAGUGCCAGGAACAUUGGUCCUAGGGAGAGGGGAGGGGACCAAGCUAUGUUGGGUCUUGCAAGCCAGGGUGGAGCGCUGCUGUUAUCAAGACAUAUGGGGAACGUGGGGUCUGGGGGUUUACUCCCAGGUCAUCAGGCUCAGGGUACAAAUGAGGGCUGUGGUGAAGAGGUAGCUGCUCUCCAGUGCCUGCAGCAUGGCUUGCAGCCCAGCUCCAUUUUGGGCUGGCAGGGCAGGUUCUUACUGGUCUGGGGCCUGAGUUCUCCAUCCCCAUUCUGUUGCCUUUCUGCCUUUAAGACUCCCUGCCCACCGCUCCAGGGUUUCCCUCCUGCCCAUAACAUGUGAGUCUCACCCCAUCCGUCAUGGCUCUGCCCAUCCCUUACUCAUAGCAUCCUCGACUGAAAAGCUGGGACCCUCCUCACUUCCCUGGGGCCUGCCAAACCCCUCCAUUCCAAUGAGAUUAUCCGUGGAGAGAGCCCCUGGGGCCAGUGCUUCCUUGGAGGCCUUCCUUCCUCCAUGUUCCCUGGCACCUCAGCCCAGGAGCUUACUGUUCACACUAGCUGCAUUUACAGUCAAGGCUCUGGCUGCUUCGUGAUAGGAGUGGCCCACACCAACCAUUCCAGGACCGAGCAGCACAUGUGGCUUUUAGCAAGGUGAGAUGGGAGGAAGAAGGAAGAGUGUGUGGGAGACCACAGGGGGUCCAGAGAACCCAGAGAAGCAGCUGUGGUUCUGUUCUGAACAUUGGAUUCACUCAGAUAAGAGGCAGAGAGAUGGUCUCUGGUCAGGCACAGGCUCCCCCCCAGCCUGCCUGCUGGGCUGACUCUGUUGCUAGGAAUCCUGGUCAACCUCACGGAUGCUCACCCAUCAGACAUGAGAUGCACAUAGCAGGCUGUGUAUCCCAUCCUGCGAAGGAACAGCCCUGUGUGUUUAACGUUCCAGGUUCCUCUAUGGUUGAUCUGUGAGUUCAGGGACCCCCCUCCCCCAUGCCUCAAACAGCUAACUGUUGAAUGACAGCAGUGUCCACAGCCUUAAGCUUGGUAAGGGGCCCAUACAAAACAGAUGGUUCCUCUGCUUCUCCAGACCAAGUCCUCAAAGCCAGAAGAUUCUGUCCUCAGUGUGGUCAAGGAAGACUGGAGAAGUUUCACAAAGGGCUCCUGCUGGGACUGUGAGCCUGUACUUCUGUCCAGCACCCCUAGCUCUGCCAGCUGUCCUUCCGGAGUCCCCUUCAGAGUCCUGUACCCAGACCACCCACCCAUCUACACCUCCAUCUUUUCAUUCCUCAAUCCCCCAUCCUUCCAUCCACUCAUCCCUCUACCCACUCAUCCCUCUAUCUAUCCAUCCAUCCCUCCAUUCUUCUCACACACUUAUCUGUCCAUCUGUCCAUCCAUCUGUCCUUCCAUCCAUCCUUCCUUCUUCAUCCACCCGUCCCUCCACCUGUCUAGCCACCCAUUAUCAUUCUUUUACUCACUUGCUCAUUAGUUACAAUACAUAUUGUUGUUAGUUAGUUAGUUAGUUAGUUAGUUUGUUAGGUUUUUCAAGACACUGUGGCUGCCAGUCCUGAAACACUCUCUGUAGACCAGGCUAUCCUAGAACUUAAAGAUCUGCCUGCUUCUGCCUCCCGAGUGCAGGGAUCAAAGGCCUGGCUGCGUGUUUAUUUGUUAGUGACAGGGAGGGACUAGUGCUUUAGUCCAGGCUGGCCUGGAAAUCACUAUGUAGCCUAGGCUGGCCUUAAAUUCCUGACAGUCCUGCUUAGCUUCCUAAGUGCUGGCAUAUGUGUGAGGAAGUGCACGUGGCUUGCACAUGUAUUAUGUAUGUGGCACCCUGCGCCAGGCACUGGGGAUGCACAGAGCACACAGUCCGAGCACUCCUCAGUUACAGAGUAACUAAGGUGCAGCAGAUGCACGUGCCAUGGUGGAAGAGCACAAGGCACAGAAGGACUGGGCAGGUGUCAGUAUUGCAGGGGACAGGUAGAGUGGGGCCUGUCACUCUUUCUGUAUCCCUGAGCCACUAGCUCACAGUGAGAGCCUCACCCCCAGCCUGCUCCACUCUGGUGUGUCACAAGAUGUCCGUGAGUUAUUUCCUCCACGAUGCUAAGGUUCUCGUGCAGUCUCCCUGGCCUGUUACACAAGGCUGUUCUGAGGCUAGAAGGACACGUAGCUGGGGUUACUGCUUGGUCAGUAGCAAAACCCCUACAUGGGUAUGCAUGUUCUGGGGGCAUCUGUCUCAGCUCAAGAUGAAAGGUCAGGGUCUGAUCCCAGCUCCCUGUGGUCUCUGUCACUGGUCAGGGGUGUGCAUUGGCCACCCUGCCUUUUCCUGAUUUAGUUUUGUAGAACUUAGGUGGUAAUGGAGGAAUGGACCCUGAGGCUCCACACCGGCCCUGACCCAAAUCCAUGAGAGCCAGCAAUGUGGACAUCCUUAAACAUUCAUGGUCACCUCUUCCUGGCUCCCAUAGUCUUCCUGAGGCAGGAGGAUGAUCCCUGUUCUGCAGAUGAGGUCACAGAGGUGCAGGGAGGGAGCUUGUUCCAGCUGGCAGCAGCCACCUGAGCAGUUUUGAGCUGGGCUCUGGGGUCCCAGGCUGAUGACCUGAAUCCUGCUCUGCCCGAUAAGCACUGGGCCUGACUCCUCACCUGUAAGAGAGACAUAGGCGUAGGCAGCAGCAUCCCAGAAUGGACAGAAGGGCCAACCCGACCCAGGGGACAGAAUGCUCAGCACGGAGUCCAGCGCAUCCGGGCCUCCAAGAGUCUAGGAGUCUUAUUAAUAAUAAUACAAACCUUCUGCCUCUGUGGCUUGCUCUCACCCCACCCCCACCAUCUUUCUAAGGAUUGAAGACAGCAGCUGGCAGUGGGAGGUGGUUUCUUUAAAUACAGGAUGAGGAGAACAAAGGAAAAAUAGAACAGGGGGGUGGUUUGUGGCCUACGCCAACUAUCCCCCUCCAAACGUGGGGGAGGGACCUAGCCUCCACCAGCCUCUGUGUGUCCCCAAGGCUCUUGAGGAAGUGAGGUUUGCUGUGCAUUAGGCUUGUCUGCUGGGACAGGACAAUCCUGGUUUGGACUGGGAUGUCACCAUGGGAGGAGACAUUUCCUGCCUGACUAUAAGGGUGGCCCCUGAGAAGCAGGAAGUAGGUUGAGCUCCUGGGGUUCCAAGACAACAUGGAGUAUUUAUUAGAAGGUUCUCUGUAGGCCCCUUGAACUUCAAAGGCUAUACCCCUCUAGCUGCCUAUUCUCCUUGGUUGCCAUGGAUCCCGUGACCAAGUCCUUGCCAUCUGCCUCUUUAGGCCAGUCCCUUAGAGCCCUCCACUCUCCUGAGAACCUGUGUCUCUUGGUCUUUGUGGUGCCCACGGGGCACUAGAUGCCAUUCUCUGAGAUGGCUGGUACCAGUCACUGCUCCUCCAGGCAGGGUACUGGCACUGGGCUUCGAACUGUGUGUGACAAAGCUGUCCACUUCCCUUGAAGACUCCGAGGGGACCGAGGUGUUCCCUGCACUACAGACAAUGGUGGAGAACUACAACGUAGGUGGAUGUGCCUUCUCUGAGGGCAGAAGUAGCUAAGCAAUAGGUGAGCCAGGACCAUGCCUGGAAUGUGGAGCCCCUCAGGACAGAGGUAAACAGAAGCGCUGAGAAUGAGCAGGAGCCAGGAGGACCCUGAACCUGGCAGCCUAGGCCUGGUCCUGGCUGGAAUUGCAUCCUGGCUAGAUCUUGGGCUAACUAGUCACUCUCUGAGCCUUAGUUCCUCUACUUGUAGAUGAGGGAAGGCAAUUCUUGACUCAAAGGUCUACUGAGGAUUACAUGACAUGUCACAAAGGAGGAAGCCCAGGGGCUGUCAAAUGCAAGACUUUCACAGAGGAAGAACCUUCCCCCAGAAAAUGCUAAGGCCCAGUUGGGUGUG